AUGAUGGAGAGUUUGUUCCUGGCUCAGGGUAAACGCUGGCGGCGUGCCUAAAACAUGCAAGUCGAACGGACAGUCGCAAGACUGUCAGUGGCAGACGGCUGAGUAACGCGUGGGUGACGUACCUGUUGGUGGGGAAUAACUGCCCGAAAGGGUGGCUAAUACCGCAUACGUCCGCUGGAGAAGUCCAGUGGGGAAAACCGCAAGGUGCCGAUGGAGCGGCCCGCGUCCGAUUAGCUGGUUGGUGGGGUAACGGCCUACCAAGGCGACGAU
rnacentral:rRNA from 1 species